rnacentral:rRNA from 1 species
AGAGUUUGAUUCUGGCUCAGAACGAACGCUGGCAGCGUGGAUUAGGCAUGCAAGUCGAGCGAGAAUCGGGAUGCCCGCAAGGGUGUUCUGAGGACAGCGGCGAAAGGGUGCGUAACGCGUGAGUAACCUACCCCUGAGUUGGGGAUAGCCCGGCGAAAGCUGGAGUAAUACCGAAUGUGAUUGAUCCGUUAUUCAUGGGUCAAUUGAAGGUGGGGAUCCCGCAAGGGACCUGUCGCUCGGGGAGGGGCUCGCGUCCUAUCAGCUUGUUGGCGGGGUGACGGCCCACCAAGGCGACGACGGGUAGCUGGCCUGAGAGGGUGGUCAGCCACACUGGGGCUGAGACACUGCCCAGACUCCUACGGGAGGCUGCAGUCGAGGAUCAUUCGCAAUGGGCGAAAGCCUGACGAUGCGACGCUGCGUGGAGGAUGAAGGCCUUCGGGUUGUAAACUCCUGUCAUUCGGGAACAAUUGCGCGCGGGCCAACACCCCGGGCGCCUGAUGGUACCGGAAGAGGAAGCCACUGCUAACUCUGUGCCAGCAGCAGCGGUAAUACAGAGGUGGCGAGCGUUGUUCGGAUUUACUGGGCGUAAAGGGCGCGUAGGUGGCUCCGCGUGUCGGAUGUGAAAUCUCACGGCUCAACUGUGAAACUGCAUUCGAAACUGCGGGGCUUGAGUGCGGGAAAGGAGAGCGGAAUUCUUGGUGUAGCGGUGGAAUGCGUUGAUAUCAAGAAGAACACCGGUGGCGAAGGCGGCUCUCUGGAACGCAACUGACACUGAGGCACGAAAGUUGGGGGAGCAAACAGGAUUAGAUACCCUGGUAGUCCCAACCCUAAACGGUGUACACUUGGUGUGGGGAGAGUUUACCCUCCCCGUGCCGGAGCUAACGCGUUAAGUGUACCGCCUGGGGAGUACGGCCGCAAGGCUAAAACUCAAAGAAAUUGACGGGGGCCCGCACAAGCGGAGGAGCAUGUGGCUUAAUUCGAUGCAACGCGAAGAACCUUACCAGGGCUUGACAUGCAGCUGCACGCCCCGUGAAAGCGGGGCUCCUUCGAGGGUGCUGCACAGGUGCUGCAUGGCUGUCGUCAGUUCGUGCCGUGAGGUGUUGGGUUAAGUCCCGCAACGAACGCAACCCCUGUGUCUAGUUGCCACCCCCGAUGAUGAGUUGGGGAGCACUCUAAACAGACUGCCCGUGUAAGCGGGAGGAAGGUGGGGAUGACGUCAAGUCAGUAUGGCCUUUAUGCCCUGGGCUGCACACGUGCUACAAUGGCCGGAACAAAGGGAAGCUAAGCCGCGAGGUGGAGCAAAUCCUCAAAACCGGCCCCAGUUCAGAUUGAAGGCUGCAACUCGCCUUCAUGAAGUUGGAUUCGCUAGUAAUGGCGCAUCAGCUACGGCGCCGUGAAUACGUUCCCGGGCCUUGUACACACCGCCCGUCACAUCAUGAAAGCCGUCUGCACCCGAAGUCGCUGAUCCAACCCGCAAGGGCGGUAGGCGCCGAAGGUGUGGGUGGUGAUUGGGAUGAAGUCGGAACAAGGUA